GGACACCUAGUUUAAGUUAGAAUUGGGGCUUUGGGGGCCGUAGGUCUCUGUUUGGAGGGGUUCA
rnacentral:tRNA from 1 species